UUCCUCCAAUUAUUAAUAAUUAACUUUAAAAUUACAAAGUUAAAAGAAAAACCCUAUUCCCUAUUAUAGUCGACUGCCUGAAUAUCAAUCGCACCUCUGUCAUUUUUAUGAUUGCGAGUCUCCAUCUUCAAAGCCCACAGGUUUUGACAGAUUUAAUAGUAUCUUACACUUUGAUGUCUUCAUCGGAUAAAGAUUCUACUUUCCAGGUCAUACGGUAUGAUGUUCACAAAUUUUACUUAUAAAAUAUUUUAGUACGGCGAACCAUCGUGGAAAUUCUUUAAAGACAUUAUUUUAUUGGAUUGGUUAUACAAUGAUAUUAGAUAUUUCAUUCAAAUAAGUUUAGUUUUAAAAUUGUGAUACUAUAGUUUGGACUCAUACUUUCUUUUGUUUCUCUAGGAUUAUGAGAUAUAUUAUGUUAUCUGAAUUUUAUUAUAUAUUUUCUAGCAUUUGACAAA